rnacentral:rRNA from 1 species
GACGAACGCUGGCGGCGUGCUUAACACAUGCAAGUCGAACGGAAAGGCCCCUUUGGGGGUACUCGAGUGGCGAACGGGUGAGUAACACGUGAGUAACCUGCCCUUGACUUCGGGAUAACUUCAGGAAACUGGGGCUAAUACCGGAUAGGAAUCCUUGCUGCAUGGUGGGGGUUGGAAAGCUUCGGCGGUUUUGGAUGGACUCGCGGCUUAUCAGCUUGUUGGUGGGGUAGUGGCUUACCAAGGCUUUGACGGGUAGCCGGCCUGAGAGGGCGACCGGCCACAUUGGAACUGAGAUACGGCCCAGACUCCUACGGGAGGCAGCAGUGGGGAAUAUUGCACAAUGGGCGGAAGCCUGAUGCAGCAACGCCGCGUGCGGGAUGACGGCCUUCGGGUUGUAAACCGCUUUCAGCAGGGGCGAAGCUUGUGGUGACGGUACCUGCAGAAGAAGCACCGGCUAACUACGUG